rnacentral:piRNA from 1 species
UACUGUGGCAGUAUUUUAUGAUGCAGACAU